rnacentral:rRNA from 1 species
UACAGGGGGUGCAAACGUUGCUCGGAAUCAUUGGGCGUAAAGCGCGCGUAGGCGGUUACUUAAGUCGGAUGUGAAAGCCCUCGGCUCAACUGAGGAAGUGCAUCCGAAACUGAGUAGCUUGAGUACGAAAGAGGGUCGCGGAAUUCCCGGUGUAGAGGUGAAAUUCGUAGAUAUCGGGAGGAACACCGGUGGCGAAGGCGGCUACCUGGCCUGUUCUUGACGCUGAGGCGCGAAAGCUAGGGGAGCAAACGGG